GACAGAGGGUGCGAACGUUGUUCGGAAUUACUGGGCGUAAAGCGCGUGUAGGCGGCAACGCAAGUCGGGCGUGAAAUCCCACGGCUCAACCGUGGAAGUGCACUCGAAACUGCGUAGCUAGAGUCCUGGAGAGGAAGGUGGAAUGCUUGGUGUAGAGGUGAAAUUCGUAGAUAUCAGGAGGAACACCGGUGGCGAAGGCGGGUCUCUGGGCAGUAACUGACGCUGAGGAGCGAAAGCGUGGGGAGCGAACAGG
rnacentral:rRNA from 1 species